GAUCUUCCAGUGAUAAAGAGGAGCCCUCGUGUCCCUUCCUGAAUCAGGCGUCAGUCUUUCUCAUGUUCGAGGUCGUCCCCCUGCUUAUCUGUCAUGGCGUUCCUUGGCUAAGUCUGAAAGCCCAUUUGUGUCAAGACUGGCCUACCAUUCUUCCAUCUCCGUGUCCCACGUAAGAGAAGGGUCGUCUCUCUCCUUGUGAGAAUUCUUAUAGGCUAUUCAAGACCUUGUGCUGAAGUGGCGUAACUGGCUCAUGGAGUCUUUUUUUCUUUCUCUUUAGUCAAUCGUCUUCUUCGGUCAUAGUAGGGCUAAGCCCAGAGGCUUCAACUGCAAGGCAUCCCUAAGAUUCUAUCUUGAAAGGAUUUUUUUUUCCUCUCGACAGAAGGGCUGUGGUUUCUAAGUCGAGGCAUUUCAUCAUUCACUGGUAGUGAGAGCUGAGC